CUAACACCAUUUCUCCCCAAUUCGAUCAAGAAGCCCUAGAUCGAUUUCCUUUAAAACCCUCCCCCAAAUAUAUUCCUCCACACUUAGCGAUUGGCAGAUCUUCAUCACCUUCACAGUAUACCAAUAGAAGGUGUGAGCCCUACUCCCCGAAAUCAUAAUUCUAACAUUGUCUCCACACCCUACCCAACGUGUGAAAGGGAUUUUGAAGAAGCCCACUUGGAGGGACCACAAAGAGGUACAAUUGCUAUUUCUGGUCUAUUGUUUUUCCCUUUCCCCGCACGUGGUAUGGUUUUUCACCUUGGUUAGUAAAAUUGGGCAAAGAUUGGCAUAUGCGUAAAAAUUGAUAGCUCUCAUGCAAAGAAAAAGAAAUUGAAAUUUAUGUUCAUUUGUUGAUUUUCAUAGUUGAGAAAAUCAGAAUCUGUGUAUGGCGUUGUAGUUUAAUGGAAAGUUGUUUCAUUUUUGUUCACAGAUUCUGUAUUUUGAAAGUUAAAACAAUUGUGUUGAAACUGAAAUUCCUUUGGUUCAUUUAUUGAUUUUCAUUGUUAAGAAACAUAGAAUCUGUAGCCAUAUUUGAUGGAUGUAAUGUUUGAAGAUGAUACAUAUCUAAAAUUUAGAGAACUACUGUUGAUCUUUUUCAAUUGCUUGUUUGUGUGAUAGAUAUGGAGGAUGACACAGACUUCAAUGAUUUGGAGAACGCCAUAUCGUCUGGAGAUAAUGAUAUGCUGUUUGAGAAAAAUGUGCGAUUGAAUUGAGUUAGGUUGCGAUGGGGUGGUGAUCGGGUGGGAAGAAGGGGAUAAUGCCAUAGUAGCACAUGACGAAUACCAGGAGGUCCAUGAUUUGGAAUAUUCAUCAUCUGAAGAAUUGUUGUUUGAUAUUUCAUCUGAUGAUGAGGUUGAGUUUCGAUUGCCCGAGUUUAUCUGUAAACACACGAGUCUAUACUAAGCAAAUCCAGCUUCAAGAAUGUGCUAGUGACUCCACAGAUGCCUAUGUGAAUGAGCCUUCAAGAGUUGGAGCAAGAAGAGCAACUUCUACGUGGCGUGCUGGAACAUAUAGAAGUAGAAGGUCGUAGCUGGGUUAUGUGUAGUAGUUGAUGUGAAUAUAUGCUCGUCGAUAUUGGUAUUGAUACCAGGAGACAUGUAAUUAAAAAAUAGUUUUAGUGUUAGCAUUAGCUGCUAGUAUUGAAGGCAGCAUGAACAGGUUAUUGCUGUUGAUUUUUUGUUGUUUUGUCAAGUUAGCUUUAUAUCUUGUUGAUGGUGUUUGAAUUCUAUUUGAUGUGUAGGUUACAAUGUAAAAAAUGAAUAUGGUAUUGAUGCUGAUUUUUGUG
rnacentral:lncRNA from 1 species